UACGGGGGGGGCAAGCGUUGUUCGGAAUUACUGGGCGUAAAGGGCGCGUAGGCGGUGUUCUAAGUUAGAUGUGAAAACUCUGGGCUCAACCCAGAGCCUGCAUCUAAAACUGGAGUGCUAGAGUUCUGGAGGGGGUAGCGGAAUUCCUGGUGUAGCGGUGAAAUGCGUAGAUAUCAGGAGGAACACCGGUGGCGAAGGCGAGUCUCUGGACAUUUCCUGACGCUGAGGCACGAAAGCCAGGGGAGCAAACGGG
rnacentral:rRNA from 1 species